rnacentral:tRNA from 1 species
GGGGCUGUAGCUCAGUUGGAUAGAGCGAUCGCCUCCUAAGCGAUAGGCCGUGGGUUCGAUCCCCGCUAGUCCC